GGUGCAUAAAGUAGGGAGAGAUUUGAUUCCCAGGACUGCCCUAUGUUCUUCUGUGGGUGCUCGGCCGUGUCCCUCACCCCACAGUACAGGCUGGCUCCUGCUGCACAAACACGGCCGAGCGAGAUAAGCGCUGUGUGCACAGCACUCAGCCAGGAAUUCAGGGCCUGUGCUGGCCCCAGCUGCCAUCCUGAUGGCAAACCACAUCGGGUUCCCUCCCUGCACCCCUCUGUGCCAUGGGGGAAGCUUCUCAGCCUGCUUUGCUUGGGCACCAUGGGGAUGCUGCAGCAGGGAUGCUGCCAGGGCACACCAUGCAGAUGCUGCACACAGAUGUGCAGGGGUGCUGCAGGAGAGAAGCUGCAUCAGCUACAGCAGGGAUUUGCAGAAAUGUUGCAGCAGGGACACAGAGAUGUGCAGGGAUGCACAGGGAUGCAAUGCAGCAGGGAUGAGCAUGAAUUUACAGGGAUGCUGCUGCAGGGAUGCACAGGGGUGCUGCAGAGUGGUUGCACAGAGAUACACAGGGAUUCACAGGGACUCUGUAGUACGGAUGUACAGGGAUGUACAGGGAUGUACAGGGAUGCACAGGGAUUCUCAGGGAUACUGUAAUAGGGAUGCGCAGGGAUGCACAGAGAUGCACUGCAGCAGGAAUGCUACAGCAGAAGGGCACGAGGACGCUGCACCAAGCCGCUGUCCUUGGUGGUGUGAGGCAUGCUGGAUAUGGAAACUAUUCCCUCCCAAAAAGAGCACGAGGUCUGUGGCGAGGGAUCUGCCAGGAUGUGUUUGCUCUGUGACACGGGUGCACGUAGCAGGGAUGAGUCAUGGCGGCGGUGCAGCUUGGCAAACACGGAGCCCGGCUCGCCCAUCAGGGGCAGAAAUGCCUCCUCUUCGCCCCAGCAGAGGGCUCGUGGUAAUAAAGGCAGGUUUUAAAAUUAAUAUAGUGAUACCUCGGAGAUUAAUCUUGCUGAUAAGCAGACAGCAGCAGGACUGAAUAGGCCCGUGGUUCAAACAAAGGUUUCUG
rnacentral:lncRNA from 1 species